GUGGUCAUCGCUUGUACCUGCACAUUGUUUAAUAAAAGCACUCAAAACAGCUAAACUUGUUUCCAAGGGAUGUAAAGUUCCAGCCAAGAUCCAUGCAGUCUCAAUCGUUUGGAGGAAUUGGGGAUGAGAGGUUAGGAAGUUAAAGAAUUUGAAAGGUUUGGUGCCAGCACACGGGAGGGAGGUUUCCAGGUUGAGAAGACAAGGCGAAUGAUCAGAAACUUCAGAAGCCAGGAAGGAAGCCACACUAUUGGGGUGAAGAAGGGACCUUGAUGACGGAGAUCAAACAGCUCCAUUUGCAGGAGGCAAUCGCGAAGUUCUAUCAUACGCGAGGACCAGUGAUCAACAUUCGGGUUUGAGUGCUCAGCUGGAUGGAUGAUUUGGUUGAAAUCCCCUCCAAGAAGCCAAGGUUGUGAAUCCAACUGGAGUCUUUGUUGAAGGUUGAUCAACUCACACCAGAGGAGAUUUCCACACGAUGAUUACUCUACCAUCCGGAUCAGAAGCAUGGUUAGAGACAAAUUGCCAACCAGGACAGGUAAGGUUCAUAACUCUGUUCAAAUUUGGUUCCUUGAUAUGGG